rnacentral:rRNA from 1 species
UCGCUACUACCGAUUGAAUGGCUCAGUGAGGCCUUGGGACUGGCUCAGGAGGGUUGGCAACGACCCCCCAGAGCCGGAAACUUGGUCAAACUCGGUCAUUUAGAGGAAGUAA